GGGGGCGACAGGUUUCGACGGGAUCAGGAGGUACAAGGUGGCAUGCCGAGGUCUCAAGGGCUCGUAAAACACUUGAGAAAAACUAUAACUGCCAAUACAGAAUUGGCACUCGCUGCCUAAUUAGGCGGUGACGUCCGAUGAGGGGUUGCCUGCGCCACUCAAAGGAUGUCAGAUCAGCAGGCUGGCCCUGUCUUACGCCUGGGAAGGCGGGGCGAGACCUUUCCGGGCUAGUGGCGAUCUAAAGCUGGUCUCUGGGCAUGGGUCGCUGCGAAGCACAAACGGAGACUAAGCAUGUAGUCUCCUUGUACUGAGGAUCUUCGGACGCGGGUUCGAUUCCCGCCGCCUCCAUUU
rnacentral:tmRNA from 1 species